rnacentral:pre_miRNA from 1 species
UUCACUCCCUGUCAACAUCGGUCUACCGAGCAAUAUCGCCUGCUCGGUGGAAGAUCUUCCCUCCGUCGU